UACGUAGGCAGCAAGCGUUGUUCGGAGUUACUGGGCGUAAAGGGUGUGUAGGCGGUUCUUUUAAGUUUGGUGUGAAAUCUCCCGGCUCAACUGGGAGGGUGCGCCGAAUACUGAGGGACUAGAGUACGGGAGAGGAAAGUGGAAUUCCUGGUGUAGCGGUGAAAUGCGUAGAUAUCAGGAGGAACACCGGUGGUGUAGACGGCUUUCUGGACCGUAACUGACGCUGAAACACGAAAAGCGUGGGUAGCAAAACAGG
rnacentral:rRNA from 1 species